AUUGAACGCUGGCGGCAUGCCUUACACAUGCAAGUCGAACGGCAGCACGGGUGCUUGCACCUGGUGGCGAGUGGCGAACGGGUGAGUAAUACAUCGGAACGUACCUUAUCGUGGGGGAUAACGCAGCGAAAGCUGUGCUAAUACCGCAUACGCCCUGAGGGGGAAAGCGGGGGAUCGCAAGACCUCGCGCGAUUAGAGCGGCCGAUGCCUGAUUAGCUUGUUGGUGGGGUAAAAGCCCACCAAGGCGACGAUCAGUAGCUGGGCUGAGAGGACGAUCAGUCACACUGGGACUGAGACACUGCCCCGACUCCUACGGGAGGCAGCAGUGGGGAAUUUUGGACAAUGGGGGCAACCCUGAUCCAGAAAUGCCGCGUGAGUGAAGAAGGCCUUCGGGUUGUAAAGCUCUUUUGUCAGGGAAGAAACACCGGCUCUAACACAGUCCGGGAAUGACGGUACCUGAAGAAUAAGCACCGGCUAACUACGUGCCAGCAGCCGCAGUAA
rnacentral:rRNA from 1 species